rnacentral:rRNA from 1 species
UACAGAGGGUGCUAGCGUUGUUCGGAAUUACUGGGCGUAAAGGGCUCGUAGGCGGCCAACUAAGUCAGACGUGAAAUCCCUCGGCUUAACCGGGGAACUGCGUCUGAUACUGGAUGGCUUGAGUUUGGGAGAGGGAUGCGGAAUUCCAGGUGUAGCGGUGAAAUGCGUAGAUAUCUGGAGGAACACCGGUGGCGAAGGCGGCAUCCUGGACCAACACUGACGCUGAGUGAGCGAAAGCCAGGGGAGCAAACGGG